UACGUAGGGUGCGAGCGUUGUCCGGAUUUAUUGGGCGUAAAGGGCUCGUAGGCGGCUUGUCGCGUCGGGAGUGAAAGCCCGCUGCUUAACGGCGGGUUUGCUUUCGGUACGGGCUGGCUGGAGUGCGGCAGGGGAGACUGGAAUUCCUGGUGUAGCGGUGGAAUGCGCAGAUAUCAGGAGGAACACCGGUGGCGAAGGCGGGUCUCUGGGCCGUUACUGACGCUGAGGAGCGAAAGCGUGGGGAGCGAACAGG
rnacentral:rRNA from 1 species